rnacentral:lncRNA from 1 species
UCUCCUAGUUUAAUUAAACUUUUUAGAUCAAGUCACUAUUGUAGCAAUUCAUUUUCCUACUCUACUAUGAUUUUCUUUGUAAUUUAUUAAAUUAAUUUAAAAAAAAAACUAUAUAUUUUUAUCACAGACAGUGUUGAUAACAAGACAUCAGUAUUUUUGUUCCUCAUUACAACCGCACCUUGCUGCUGAAUAUAGCAACAUACAAGUGUUAUUUAGGCAAGCAUUUCAUACAAUGCAACAUCAUGUAAUAAACAAAAGAAGAAUUAUAACAUGAUAAAGAAUAAGAUGGAGAACAAAAUGAGGAAAAAUCCACAGCCAAAAAUGUAAAGUAUCCUUAAAAGUAUGGAAAUAUAUGGCAAGAACAACAUUAAUGAUUAUUCCAACAUAUAUAUUUAUAGAGUAGAUCUAAAGAUCAAUACAAUUCAGUUUGUCAUUUGAUGUCACUAGCCCUUUGGUGUUUUGGAAUAGUCAAAAUAGCAACCAAACAGUAUGACAAAGAUGAUGAGUAAAAUGCAAAAAUCAGAAUGAAGUAAUUCACAAGUAAUCUCAAACACUUCAUAAUAUUAAAUUUACAAAGGUUUAUUCACAGUAUGGAGUAAUAGUCUUUUUCCAUUAAAUCCUAAUAGUAACAAUUGUUGCCUUCUUUACCAAACUUCAAACCUACUAUCAAUGUAUUCAACAGACAUGAAUAACACGAGUUGCAACAAUUGUAUUGUUGAUAAAUACUCUAGCAAUAGACAUUCUUUAAUUCAUAAUUUUGAACAGGGUGAAAAUUCUACCAUAAACAAUGGACAUUCUUUCAAAAAAAUUCUAAGAGAGAAGGAAAGUCUCUUCCUAAAUUUUUAUAUGCGGUCAUUCCUUACACUUAUUCAUGUCUUCAAAUUUAGGAAAUGUCAAUGACAUGAAUGGCGCUAUAACCAUGAUGUCAUAUAAUUAUGUAUCAGUGUACAUCAAUUAAGAGAAGACAACUAUCUUAAAGAAGGGAGAGUUGUGCAAUUACUUCACCCUCGGAUAAUCUAAUUUCAUGAAGGUUUAGAUGGUCCAGAUGAACCAGUUAGCUCACAUCAUUCGACAAAUGCUAAAAUUUUUGACAACCGCCCAACAGAAGACUUUCUAAGUUCAUCAAAGAAUCGAGAAACUUAGCAAUUAAUGUGUAAGAAAGGUUCAAAUAUUGAACAUGUUUUAUCUUUAGUAUUGAAUCUGGAAGACUGGACAACUUAAGCUUUGCUAGAGAAAAAAUGUUCUCACAUGUUUCAAUAAUUGCUCUAAUGAAUCAAAACCCAAGUCUAAUACUUACCUAUAUCAUAAAAUAAAUAUAUAAUAUUUUCUUAAGAUACAUUAAAAAUUGAAAAUCCAUUUAUGCAUAACUGAAUUUUUAAGCCAUCGUUUGUGCAAACCCAUGCUUAAUGUCAAGAAUUAAAAGACUAGAAACCUCAUUUUCUUCCAUUAAGUAUAUUGAGACUAACUUUUUAAUACAUUAUCAGCAUUUUUAAAACAUGGAGAAGAAUCUUAUUAAUUAUCACCUCUAUAAAAAGCAAGAUUCCAUGUACGACGUCAAAACGAAUAUAAGAAGUGAUAACGAAGGUCUUGGUAUAUCUCAUUAGCAGGCUCGUUUGUCUACUAAGUAUAAGUGAUAACCAAUGACAUGGUAUCUAAGACGUGGAUGCAUACUAUGAAAUAUAAGUUAAGGAGGCAUAGAGAGCUGCAACACUUGAAUGACAUGACAUUACCAUUAGAUAUCUCACGCAAGGAACUCAUUAUUCGAUAUAUCAUCUAAUACAAUGAGGAAUCUUCUAUCAUGUAUUAUUUCUUUUAAUUGGAUCUGGAGUAGAUCCAAAUAUGUUAUAUUACGUUUUCAUUGUCUAAGCCUAUUAUGUAAUAAGAAUUCUUUUCUAAUUCUUACAUUGUCAAACUCAGUGUCAUAUACUUCAAAUUCAUCCAUAAAAGAAGUCGUUGAUACAAACAAGGCGGGCAACUUGUCUAUAAUAUUUACACGACAAAACAGAUCUUUUCGAGCAUCCUUGAGUGCAUUCCAUUUGAAUUUAAAACAAUUUAGAUCUUCUAAUUACUCACGAAAGCAUGAGACAAUUCUUUUUUUUUUACACGUUUAAAACUUUUAGGCUUAGAAACAACAUUCUCAACUAAGUAUGCCUCUGAGCAUGCUCACUAACGCCAAAGAAUAAAAAUGUUAUUAUUAAGUUUGAAAGGAGUUGUAAAUGACGUAGAAGAAAAAGAAUUGGUUAAUGCAUUCGUGAGUACUUGGCUAGAAAAUCUAAAACAUGUAUGAUAUACACAAAAUAUUGGAAAUUGAGUCUAACUAGUUCGGCAAUGUAUUCUCUUCUUUAAAUUCAAAUGAGAUACACUCAAGGAUGAUUAAAAUAGUAUAUCAAUAGUAACAAUCCAAUAAAAAUUCUAUUUUGUCUUGUAAAUAUUAUAGAUGAGCUGGUUUUAGGUUGAUGAAUCUAAAGUAUAUGGGAGAAAAAGUAAACAAAGAAAAAACAUCAUGAGUUGGUUUUAGAAGAAUUCUUAUUACAAAACCAAAGAAAAAGUAAUUUCUAUAUUUGUUAUUGUUGGUGUGCCGGGAAUUGGAAAAAACAUCAUUAUUUCAAUUUUGUUCAAUGAUAACGAUGUUAAGAUCAUGAGCUUAUAUCUCACACCACAGAGAAAAGUUUUGUUGGAGAUCACAAAAAAUAUUUUAUUUAUGUGUAUGACAAAUUAUGAGUGUCACGUCAUUCAAGUGUUGCAGCUUUUUAUGCCUCCUUAAUUAGUUAUAUUUCAUACCUGUCAUUUGAAGAUAAUUGCUUAUAAUACGCUGAACAUUAUACAUGAAAUCUUGCUUUGAAUAUUGUUCUACAUUUCCUUGUGGAUUUAAGAUAAAGAGAUGGCAAAUAAUAAGAUUAUGGAAGAUAAAAGGUCUUUUCGAAUGUUUUGAAAAUGCUGAAAUGAUUAAAGAGAUAAAAAAAUGUAUCAAAAAGUUAGUCUCAAUAUUCAUAAUGAGAGAAGAUGAGGGUUCUAGCCUUCUAAUUCUUGACAUUGUGGAUGGAUUUGCAUAGAUGAUGGCUGAAUUUUCAUUUGUUGAAUGUAUCUCAAAAAAUAUCAUAUAUUUAUCCUAUGAUAUAGGUAAGUAUUAGAUUUUGAUAGAUUUUAGUUGAUUAGAGCAAUUGAGAACCCUGUUGACAUUUGAUGUUUUAAGCAUGAUUUCCUGUCUAAAGAACCAUGCUAACUUUUCUUGAAAUUGAAAUGUGUGUUAUAACAUUUUUCUUCUAACAAAGUUUAAGUUGCCUAGUCUUUUCAGAUUCAAUAAUAAAAUUAAAGCAUGUUCAAUAUUUGAACCUCUCAUACACAUAUAAUUGAUAAGUUUCCCGAUUUCAAUAUUUGAACCUCUCAUACAAUAAAAGAGGUUUUUGUUAUGGAGUGGCAAAAUUUUCAAUAUUUGUCGAAUGAUACGUGAGCAAACUUGUUCAUCUAGACUACCUAAACCUAAAUCAAUCUCAUUAUGUAAGCUCUCACAAUUUAUAUGCAUUAAUAAUGAUUUUAAUAUUGAUGUGUUGGAAGUAUUUCUAAGUCUUCGUGUUUCAUUAUCAAUUAUUAAUUUAAAAGAGAUGGUUGAGACCAAUGAUGCUUAUAGAACAUAGUAAAAAAACAAAAAAACACCUUAAAAAAUUGGAGUUUAUCUACACAACAACAAUGCAUCAUCAAAACAUACACAUACAGAAAGAUGCAAAUGUGCUUAAAAAGUUACAGUCACACAAAUAUUUGAAAGAAAAGAUUGAAAACUUUAACGAUGACUUAUUUCAUUCUUGGCUGCAAAAUGAUUUAUUGUCUCAAUUAGUCAUUUUCGAAAUUAUUAAAUGAAUAAAUUGCACAACUCUCCCCUCUUUUUGAUAGUUGUCUUUCCUUAAUCGAUUGUAUUUAAACAAUUUUACUGAAUUGGAGUCCAUGGUACAUAACUGUAUAGAAGUAUGGUUAUACCGUCGUACUCAUCUAUCAGAUCAAUUGAUUAUAAAUGUAAUAUUACUUAUAAGCAAUACCAACGCCCAUUCAAGGAAUUCGAUCAUGUAAUAUUCAUCUUGACAAGCAAUUAUCUUCAUACUAUGAUAAAAUAUGUAUAAAAAGCACAAGGGCUGUAGCUCAGUUAGGUAGAGGUCGUUGACAUUUCCUAUAUUCUUAACCUGAACAAGUGUAAGGAAUGAUUACAUAAAAAAUUUGAAGGAGGAGACUUUCCUAUCUUUCAGAACUUUGUUUGGAAAAAAAAUAUCCAUUCCUUAUCUUAAAACUUGCAACUAAUCUAAAUUAUGGAUUAAAGAAUUAAAGAAAGUUCACUGCUAGAGGAUUCAUCGAUAAUCAAAUAGUAGGGUAGAAAUUUGGUCAAGAAGUCUAUCAAAUAAUAUGUUAACCUUUUCAGGUCAGAUUGAUACACUUAUUAUUAUUUCGAAAUUUCACUUAUCAUUAAUGUGGCUGGAAGGCUAAGACUAUUAUAUAUUAUUAAGAUCCAAUAAAAAAAGAGUAUUACUCCAUAGUAUGAAGAAAUCUUUCUAAAUUUCAAAUUUGAUAUUAUGAAGUGUUUGAGAGAUUACUUGCGAAUUAUACUAUCUUGAUAUCUGCAUUUGACUCAUUACUUUUGUCAUAGUGUUUGUUUGCUUAUUUUACUCUUCCAAACACUAAAGACCAAUUAUUAGAACAUUGACAACACUUUUGUGGAUGUGACAUCAGCAGUUUGUGGUUUGUUUGCCACCAACUUAAAUAAUAGAAGACAUGUGACAAACUUUCAAACAGAUAUAUUGUGAUGUAUACAUUUUACUUUAUAAAAAACAUAUGUUGAAAUAACCAUUCGUAUUUUUAAGGGUACUUCACAUUAUCACAUCAAUAAUGUUAUAAUUCAUAAAAUAAUUCUUCUAUUUAUUACAUGGUGUCAGUAGCAAAUUAUAGGCUGCAUGUUAAUGUAUGUAACUACUAGACCGUCUAGUUUGACGAUUUACUGUGAUUAGAAAUUCAGAUUUAACAGAAAUAACACUUGGCAUGUUUCUAUAUUCAACAAGGUUUAGUUGAAAAGAAAUAAAAAAUGUCGUACAAGAACAAAAAAUAUUGUUGUAAGUUCUCUCAGUAAAUUUUUUUUAUUAACAUUAAUUCGAAAAAUUUCAAAGAAAAAUCAUAAAAGAAGUAAGAAAAUAAAUUGGUGCAUUAGUGAGUUGAUCUAAAAAAAGUCUAUAAAACGAGCUAGAUUAGAAGAUGUGACUUAAAUUAAAUUAAUUUAUUUUUCUUAUUCACAUAACUCUCUUAUUUCUUAUGUGACUUGUAAAAGUUAUUGGCAAUCUUAUUUUCUUUUAUACUGACCUUGUACAUCUUUAUUAGUAAUUCUAUUUAUGUUUAAUUUGUUGCCCCAGUUACUUUUGGAUGAGUUUUGAGAGAAAAAAAAUAUCAUUUCCCAUACAUAUAGUAUUUUUAAAUGAUAUUGUAGUCUCUUGCAAUAUCUUGUAUAUUGCAUGGGAUACUAAGUUAGUUUUAUUUCAUUCUUUUUAUUAUAUUAAUAUUUAUAUUUUAUGACUGGUGAUUUUUAUGGUUAUUUUUAGUUUUAUAUUAAACUAUUGUGUCGUUUUUAAAUGUUAUGAUGGCCUUUCUUUUUCGGUUGAUUAAGGGCACACCAAUUCUUAUAUAAAGUUACUGUAUUUCUUUAUCUAUAAUUUUUUAAGGUUUUGUUCUUACUUUGUUAUUUUAUUAUUGUUUGAUUCAUUGUUUUUGCUUGAGUUUCAUUUUGAAAAAAACCUUCUUUAACAUACAAUGACUAUCAUGACUUAAAAAUUUCAAGUAAUAAGUAGUAGAAAUCAUGUACAAAUUACAUUCUUUUUGCCUGCACAUUAGGCAUCACAACAAGUUUAAUAAGAUCUAUCAACUAGAGGAAUGCACAAAUUACCAUUAUAAAGCCAUUUUAAAUGUUGAGAGACACAUUAUUGAGAAGGUAGUGCGUUUAGGUUUGUUUGAAAUGUUACAUAAAGUAAUAGAUUUAAAAAUAACUAAGUAAAGCUAAAAUUAUAAGUUCACCUUAUUAUCAUCUUAUAUUUGGAUGCAUUGGUAUUGCUUUAAAUUUGGUUCCAAUCUUUUGAUAAUAUUAUUUAAGCUACAAAUUAUUAUUUCAAACUUGGAAAGAAAAUUAGUUAGACCUCAGUCCAGACCAAAAACAUUGGCAAAAAAUUAUUUGGGUACCCUGUAGGGUUUAGGAUUUAGGGUAGGACUUUGAUGUGCAAAUCAUUAUGGUGUUAGGACGAGUGAAAAUGAGAAGAGGGUCCAAUGAGCAGUGUUUGGACCUACCCUUUUGUUUUUCACUCAUCUGUUUUUCUAUAGAGUUCAGCAUCUUUGGUUCUCACUGGUGUAAUAACAAGCUUGAAAAUAGGAAAAUCAGACAUUGCUAAAGUAUGGAGUUUCCAAUCAAUAGAAUAGAAUGUGGAAAGAUUUCAGCACUUGAAACUCUAACCAAACAAAUAAGGAUCAAUGAGACUUACACUACAGAGCAGAGCAAUGUUCUAUUGGAUAGAAUUUGUUCCAUGAUCCGAGUUAACGUUUCCACAUUCCCUUACCGAGUAACUCGGUUAGUAAACUCGGUUUUUGAGUUCAAGUAAAAGAAAACGGUGUCAUUCUGAAUGGGGAAAACUAAAUGAAAUAAACUGACCUUUAGGUUUCGUUUAGGGUUUUGGUUUCACUUUGCUUAUUCUGUGGAGUGCCUGUUUCAAGAUACCCAAUUUAUUGUCAAAGAUGAAAACAAAUAAAUGAAAUUGAAAUACAAAUAAAACUAUGUGGUUCACUAAGAUGAUAGAGAUAACCAGACCUACUAGAUCAGGAUUUGAGUGUUCUUUAUUCUCCAGGAUCUGAGUUAAAAAGAUUAGAAAAAGAAAGAAAACAAAGAUAGAUUGAAUUUAUUGUGAAAAUCUCAAUAUGUUACAUUUAAAUUUUUAGAAUAAAAUUCUAAAGGAAAUAAUGUUAUUUAUCUUGAAAUUUAUUAAUUCUUUGUCUUAAAAAACAUUAAAAUGAUUUUUGAAGAAGCUAAAAGGAGACUUUAUCUUCCUUCACGCCAAUAAUUUCUAACUACACCAUCAUAAUUUUUAAAAUAAUCGUUUUUUGAACAAGUUUUUAGAAACAGCUCUUUUUAAAAUUAGAAAAACAAAUAUAUAAAAUUUAUACUUUCCUCCUAAAUAAACUUAAUUUACUCUAUCUCUUUAUCAGAUAUUUCGUUAUUGUAUAUAAAGUGUUAUUUAUUGUUUACUGAUGUAGCAAAUAGAGAUUAGUGAAAAAUGAUUAGUUUCAAAGAUUUUUCCUUUACUUAAAAUCAUCCUCAAUUUGCAUUAACUCAUACGACAAUGCUACCCAAAUGAAUAAACAUUGUCCAUCACUUCGUAUGUAGAUAAUAACAAAGAUGUAUUGGUCAAAUCUGGUUUUAUGACCAACUUGGUCAUUAAUCAGACAAAAUAUUAUUACUUUAAUUUUCUUAUAUAUAAUUAGUAUUUUAAAAAGGAGAUUCGUUCUUAAGUUUAUUUGUAAGGUGAACACGAGAUUAUUUAAAUUACAGUUAAAAGAAUAAAAAAAAAAUUAAUUUAAUUUAAGUUACAUCUUCUCUUAGUCUAACUAAACUUUUUAGAUCAAGUCACUAUUGUAGCAAUUCAUUUUCCAGUCUACUAUGAUUUUCUUUGUAAUUUAUUAAAUUAAUGUUAAAAAAAAUCACUAUUUAUUUUUAUCACAGAGAGUGUUGACAACAAGACAUCAGUAUUUUUGUUCCUCAUUUCUUUACAACUGCACCUUUCUUUAGGCAAGCAUUUCAUACAAUGCAACUUAUAAUUUUAUAUCAACAUUAUAUAAUAAACAAAAGAAGAAUUAUAACACGAUAAAGAAUAAGAUGAUGAGAAAAUGAUGAUGAGAAAAUGCAAAAAUUAGAAUGAAGUAAUUCACAAGUAAUCUCAAACACUUCAUAAUAUCAAAUUUAGACAAGUUUAUUCACACGAGUAAUAGUUUUUUUCCAUUGAAUCCUAAUAAUAUAUAAUUGUCUUACCUUUCAGCUUCAAUAAUGACUUAAAGAAUGUAUCAAUCUGACUUAAAGAAUG